rnacentral:rRNA from 1 species
AUGGCGGCCCCUCUCUCCCGCAGCAAGCACCGCACCGGCCGCGACACCUGUGGAACACCUACCAUCUCCUCCUCCUCUCAUUGCCCUACCUCGCAGCCCGGUGUCGCCUGUCCGCACCCCCAGCAGCUGCAAGAUUGGAUCGCCAUCCCGCCGCACGAGCCAUACGCGUUGCUGCGGCCAGCCACCACCCGAGUCCGCUGCAUAUUCGCAGGCACAGUCGUCUCCCUUUGGUUGACUCCUUCAGUCUUGAUCCGUGAGCAAGGGCGAGAUGGCAUUAGCCCAUUGCUUGAUGAAGAAGAUGAGAGUAGGGAAGAAGAAGAUGAUGAUGAUGAGGUGGUGGAGAAGAGUGGUGGUGGGCACAUCCUCACUUCAGCGCUGAACAGGAAAACCUCCCGGCCACCAUUAGGGAGCUCUUGGUUGCACCACAAGCUGCAAGGCCUUGUCAAAUCACUCAUGUCGCUUAACGGCUAUGGCCUCUCGCUGGUCAAGAUGGAUCAUUUUGUGCAAGUUGGCCUCGCCCACUUAUAUUCUCUGAAGCCGUCACUGUCAGGCCUGAGGAAGUGCAUACUGAAAAAGACGAGGAGCAGAUGGGGUAGACCAAUGUGUUUUCGAUGUCAGAAUCAGAAUGCUAUGAGAGUUGUACAUGUGCUUUCGUGGGCCAUGGAAAGCAUCUGUGAGUGGCUGAUGGACAUCAUCAUGGUGCUCUUCUCACCGAAGCUGGCAAUCAUUGAGCAAGGGCCCAUGCAACAUGAUCCAAAGAUCUACGCAGAUUCUCAAACAGUUACUUCACACAAGACCUGUGACAACUUGUAUGCGACCAAAACGCCGCUCAUAAACACUCUCUCUGCUCUUCGUUGGGACGACUACUACUGGGAUACUUACACGAAGCCACCCGUCGGGUAUGACAUGGUCUGGGGGAACAAACCGAAUAGGCGGGGGCUACGUCCCUACUGUGCCAUUGGUCACACUAGCGACAUUGAAGGAACCAACAACCUGAACCGCGGUUGUCCAUGGACGGGACUGGUUGAGGAUCAUCGGCUCUUGAUGGCAGAGUGUGACGGGGUUAGGUCUAAUGUCAUGUUGGGCGCUCCUCAUGUGCUUGGCGGCAGUGGUGGUACGCCCGUUCCGGUGCUGCGCAGCAAGGGGAAAGAGGCGGAGGUUGAUGGGGCGUCGCCUUCAGGGGGCGGCGCGCCAUCCGCUGAUCGGGUUGAAGAGAUGAUGGAACGGCUGCGUCUCACAGCGGUGGAGGCGCAUCCAGUGGUUCUUGAUGAUGAGAACGAGGCGGAUCUGACGAUCUCGUCGGUGAUGCGGCCGGCGUGGGGUAAUCCGAAUGGCUUACCGUUCCAUCCCUCGGGGGACAAUGUUUUUGUUGCGGAAUUUGGUACUCAGGCUGAUCGGGCCAGAGUGGUCAAGGGCUCGCCAUGGAUUGUGGGCAAGGACGCGGUGCUCCUGAAGGUUUUUGACCAUAAUAUUUAG